rnacentral:tRNA from 1 species
GCGGAAGUAGCUCAGUUGGUAGAGCAUCACCUUGCCAAGGUGAGGGUCGCGGGUUCGAGUCCCGUCUUCCGCUCCA